CGCUAAGGUGUUUAUAUCUAGAGUCUGGACCGCUAAGGUGUUUAUAUCUAGAGUCUGGACCGCUAAGGUGUUUAUAUCUAGAGUCUGGACCGCUAAGGUGUUUAUAUCUAGAGUCUGGACCGCUAAGGUGUUUAUAGCUAGAGUCUGGACCGCUAAGGUGUUUAUAUCUAGAGUCUGGCCGCUAAGGUGUUUAUAGCUAGAGUCUGGCCGCUAAGGUGUUUAUAUCUAGAGUCUGGACCGCUAAGGUGUUUAUACCUAGAGUCUGGACCGCUAAGGUGUUUAUAUCUAGAGUCUGGACCGCUAAGGUGUUUAUAGCUAGAGUCUGGACCGCUAAGGUGUUUAUAUCUAGAGUCUGGACCGCUAAGGUGUUUAUAGCUAGAGUCUGGACCGCUAAGGUGUUUAUAGCUAGAGUCUGGACCGCUAAGGUGUUUAUACCUAGAGUCUGGACCGCUAAGGUGUUUAUAUCUAGAGUCUGGACCGCUAAGGUGUUUAUAGCUAGAGUCUGGACCGCUAAGGUGUUUAUAGCUAGAGUCUGGACCGCUAAGGUG